rnacentral:rRNA from 1 species
GACGAACGCUGGCGGCGUGCUUAACACAUGCAAGUCGAACGGAAAGGCCCUGCUUUUGUUGGGUACUCGAUUAGCGAACGGGUGAGUAACGCGUGAGUAACCGGCCCUUGACUUUGGGAUAACGUCAGGAAACUGGGGCUAAUGCCGGAUAGGAGCUCCUGCUGCAUGGUGGGGGUUGGAAAGUUUCGGCGGGUGGGGAUGGACUCGCGGCUUAUCAGCUUGUUGGUGGGGUAGUGGCUUACCAAGGCUUUGGCGGGUAGCCGGCCUGAGAGGGUGACCGGCCACAUUGGGACUGAGAUACGGCCCAGACUGCUACGGGAGGCAGCAGUGGGGAAUAUUGCGCGAUGGGCGGCAGCAUGAUGCAGCAACGCCGCGUGCGGGAUGACGGCCUUCGGGUUGUAAACCGCUUUCGCCUGUGACGAAGCGUGAGUGACGGUAAUGGGUAAAGAAGCAACGGCUAACUACGUG